CAGAUGCCAGCCAUCGCCGUGCUGGCCGCGGCCGCCGCGGCGUGCUGCUUCCUGCAAGUCGAGAGCCGGCACCUGGACGCGUUCGCUCGAGGCGCGGGCCUCAACAACGGCAAUUUCCUAGACAAUGACCAGUGGCUGAGCACCGUCUCCCAGUACGACAGGGACAAGUACUGGAACCGCUUCCGAGACGCUCACCACAGGCCUGAUGCCCUCACCUCGGCACGGGCAGGAAUAAGGUUUCUCCCAGCACCAUCUCAGCAUCGUGAGUGA
rnacentral:lncRNA from 1 species